rnacentral:rRNA from 2 species
AAUAUUGUAAAUUGAGUUCCGAAGAGGGAAAGUGGAACUCCAUUGUAGCGGUGGAAUGCGUUAGAUAUUUGGAAGAACACCAGUGGCGAAGGCGGCUUUCUGGUCUGUAACUGACGCUGAGAUUUGAAAGCAUGGGUAGCAAACAGGAUUAGAUACCCCUGGUAGUCCAUGCCGUACACGAUGAGUGCUAAGUGUUGGAGGGUUUCCGCCCUUCAGUGCUGCAGCUAACGCAUUAAGCACUCCGCCUGGGGAGUACGAUUGCAAGAUUGAAACUCAAAGGAAUUGACGGGGGCCCGCACAAGCGGUGGAGCAUGUGGUUUAAUUUGAAGCAACGCGAAGAACCUUACCAGGUCUUGACAUACCAUGAAAAGCUAAGAGAUUAGUCUUUCCCUUCGGGGACAUGGAUACAGGUGGUGCAUGGUUGUCGUCAGCUCGUGUCGUGAGAUGUUGGGUUAAGUCCCGCAACGAGCGCAACCCUUAUUAUCAGUUGCCAGCAUUCAGUUGGGCACUCUGGUGAGACUGCCGGUGACAAACCGGAGGAAGGUGGGGACGACGUCAAAUCAUCAUGCCCCUUAUGACCUGGGCUACACACGUGCUACAAUGGUCGGUACAACGUGCUGCGAACUCGCGAGGGUAAGCAAAUCACUUAAAACCGAUCUCAGUUCGGAUUGUAGGCUGCAACUCGCCUACAUGAAGCUGGAAUCGCUAGUAAUCGCGGAUCAGCAUGCCGCGGUGAAUACGUUCCCGGGCCUUGUACACACCGCCCGUCACACCAUGAGAGUUUGUAACACCCAAAGUCGGUGGGGUAACCCUUCGGGGAACUAGCCGCCUAAGGUGGGACAAAUGAUUAGGGUGAAGUCGUAACAAGAGCCAGGCC